rnacentral:rRNA from 1 species
UACGAAGGGGGCUAGCGUUGCUCGGAAUCACUGGGCGUAAAGGGUGCGUAGGCGGGUCUUUAAGUCAGGGGUGAAAUCCUGGAGCUCAACUCCAGAACUGCCUUUGAUACUGAGGAUCUUGAGUUCGGGAGAGGUGAGUGGAACUGCGAGUGUAGAGGUGAAAUUCGUAGAUAUUCGGGAGAAAGACCUCGAGUGGCAGGAACGG